rnacentral:rRNA from 1 species
CUUCUUGAAUUAAAAUUGGAAGUCGGGUCUGUCCACUGAAUAAGAAUUUGAAGGGCCGCGGUAUAUUGACCGUGCAAAGGUAGCAUAAUCAUUAGUUUUUUAAUUGAAAGCUGGAAUGAAUGGUUUGACGAAAUGAUUAGUGUCUCUAAUUAAUUAAUUGAAUUUUACUUUUAAGUUAAAAGGCUUAAAUAUUAAUAAGGGACGAUAAGACCCUAUAGAUCUUUAUAAUAAUUUUAAUACUAUUGAUUUAGUUGUUUUGUAUUAUAUUUUAUUAAUUUUAUUAUUUUGUUGGGGUGAUGUGAGAAUAUAUAAGCUUCUUAAUUUUUAACUUUGAUUAUUGAAUAUAAGAUCCUAUAUUUAUGGAAUAAAGAUUAAGAUACCUUAGGGAUAACAGCGUAAUUUUAUUGGAGAGUUCUUAUUGAUAAUGAGGAUUGCGACCUCGAUGUUGGAUUAAGAAUAUAUAUUGGUGUAGGUGCUAAUAGUAUUGGUCUGUUC